GAUGAACGCUGGCGGCAUGCCUAACACAUGCCAGUCGAUCGGUAAGGCUCUUCGGAGUACACGAGAGGCGGACGGCUGAGUAACGCGUAGGAACACACCCUGCAGUGAGGGAUAAGACACCGAAAGGUGUUCUAAUACCGCAUACGGUCUUCGGAUUAAAGCAUUUAUGCGCUGAAGGAGUGGCCUGCGUCAUAUUAGAUAGUUGGUGAGGUAAUGGCUCACCAAGUCGAUGAUGUGUAGCUGGUCCGAGAGGAUGAUCAGCCAGACUGGAACUGAGACACGGUCCAGACUCCUACGGGAGGCAGCAGUGAGGAAUAUUUCACAAUGAGCGAAAGCUUGAUGGAGCAAUGCCGCGUGCAGGAUGAAGGCCCUCGGGUUGUAAACUGCUUUUAUAAGAGAAGAUUAUGACGGUAACUUAUGAAUAAGGGACGGCUAACUACGUG
rnacentral:rRNA from 1 species